ensembl:lncRNA
AUGUUAUUGUGCAUUCUAUGUCAUUGUGCAUGCUAUGUCAUUGUGCAUGCUAUGUUAUUGUGCAUGCUAUGUUAUUGUGCAUGCUAUGUUAUUGUGCAUGCUAUGUCACGUUUACACGAUGAAGCUUUAAGCCAAAGCUGUGAUCAUUGACUGUACUGCAGUAUUAAGUGAUCAGGGAUCGAUCAGGUCAGUGAGGGAUCUCACAUGGAGCCAGGAGGGAGUCAUGUGACGCCUUGGAGCAGAAAGGAAUUCAUGAGGGAGGAGCUGGGCCGGAAUGUGCAGCCAAUCACAUACGACAACAGCUCCAGUUUUUGAGCUCCAGCCAGUUGACUUCUCGUCCCAGAAGGGGCGGGAGUGACAGUAGUGACCCUUGAUCAGAGGUUCAGAACCCAGCACAGCUCACACACUAAAUCUGCACCUGCAGGAUUGUAUCAAACACUCAAUGAAGUAACACAAGGCGGAGCCGGACUGUGAGAAGCUUCACAGCAGCCUUCUGAAACCGUCAUCUUGGUGCUCUGUGUGCUUUCCCUCUCAACUGAAGAGGACUUGUAAAGGCGUGUACAGAGAGACGGGCUUGGAUGUGACCGACCUGCAAGCCGACAUCGGGUUGCUCAUUCUGGCAGGAAUGUACCAGCUGCGUGCUGCUGACACUGGAAGGACGGUGUUAUAGAAAUGAUCUCUUUUAAAUGUCAGUCAGUGACAUUUUGUUGAUCUGAGUAUUUCUACAUAGCCGCUUAUGUCUUUUUUUAAAUUGAAUGUGUUAUUUAGGUAGUUAACAAACAAAGUUCCUAAUACAGAAACCUGGGGGAAAAUUGAGUUAUGGUCAUUUUCUGGGUGUUUAAAUUAGGGAGAACGAGGAGGAUCCGUCUCCUGAUGGACGGACUGAAUGGACGUCAUGUGUACUAAAUAAACAAUGUAAAGAUGUACAAUACAUUCAGUCCCUAUAACAGAAAUGAUUCAAAUAAUAUGUAGAGUAGUAAAGCAGGUCAACCACCAUCAGAUAGAAGCACCAUCAGACAGAACCACCAUCAGAUAG